CGGGCCCUGCACUGUGUCCUCACCACCAUCCUGAGCCAGACUGAGAACAAAGUGCCUGUGCCCCAGGGAUACCCUGGAGGGGUCCCCACCUUCUUCCGGGACAUGAAGCAGGGCCUGCUGUCUGUGGGCAUUGGCGGCCGGGAGUCCCGGAAUGGCUGCCUGGACGUGGAGAAGGACUGUUCCAUCACCAAGUUCCUGAACCGCAUCCUGGGGCUGGAGGUGCACAAGCAGAACGCCCUGUUCCAGUACUUCUCAGACACCUUCGACCACCUCAUCGAGAUGGACAAGCGGGAGGGCAAAUAUGACAUGGGCAUCCUGGACCUUGCUCCCGGUAUCGAGGAGAUCUACGAGGAGAGCCAGCAGGUGUUCCUGGCUCCCGGGCACCCGCAGGACGGGCAGGUGGUCUUCUACAAGAUCAGCGUGGACCGCGGCCUGAAGUGGGAGGACGCCUUUGCCAAGUCGCUGGAGCUGACGGGCCCCUAUGACGGCUUCUACCUCUCCUACAAGGUGGGGUCGGGCGGGGUUACCCCCCCCAGGAGGGCCCGCGGGGGGCGGACCGGGGCGCGGCCUCAACGCCCCCCUCCGCAGGUCCGCGGUAACAAGCCCAGCUGCCUGCUGGCGGAGCAGAACCGCGGCCAGUUCUUCACGGUGUACAAGCCCAACAUCGGCCGGCAGAGCCAGCUGGAGGCCCUGGACAGCCUCCGCCGCAAGUUCCACCGGGUAGGCGGCCGCCGGGCGCAGCUUUCCCUCGGGCUGCCGGCCCUGACCCCGCCCAGGCUCAUGCGGCCCUGUGUCCCCAGGUCACCGCGGAGGAGGCCAAGGAGCCCUGGGAGAGUGGCUACGCUUUGUCGCUGACGCACUGCAGCCACAGCGCCUGGAACCGGCACUGCCGGCUGGCGCAGGAGGGUAAGGACUGCCUGCAGGGGCUGCGGCUGCGGCACCACUACAUGCUGUGCGGCGCGCUGCUGCGCGUGUGGGGCCGCAUCGCCGCCGUCAUGGCCGACGUCAGCAGCAGCAGCUACCUGCAGAUCGUGCGGCUGAAGACCAAGGACAGGAAGAAGCAAGUGGGUGAGUGGGCGGCGGGCGCCCCGGGAAGGCCCGAGCCCCCAGCGCCGGCCCUGACCCCGACGCUCUGCCCGCAGGCAUCAAGAUCCCCGAGGGCUGCGUGCGCCGGGUGCUGCAGGAGCUGCGGCUGAUGGAUGCGGACGUGAAGCGCAGGCAGGCGCGCGCCCUGGGCUGCCCCGCCCCGCGCCCGCUGGCGCUGCCUUGCGGC
rnacentral:sRNA from 1 species